rnacentral:rRNA from 1 species
AAGCGGUGGAGCAUGCGGUUUAAUUCGAAGCAACGCGAAGAACCUUACCAGGUCUUGACAUCCCUGACAAUCCGAGAGAUCGGGCGUUCCCCUUCGGGGGACAGGGUGACAGGUGCUGCAUGGCUGUCGUCAGCUCGUGUCGUGAGAUGUUGGGUUAAGUCCCGCAACGAGCGCAACCCUUGCCUUUAGUUGCCAGCAGUUCGGCUGGGCACUCUAAAGGGACUGCCGGUGUUAAACCGGAGGAAGGUGGGGAUGACGUCAAGUCCUCAUGGCCUUUAUGACCAGGGCUACACACGUACUACAAUGGCCGAUACAAAGGGCAGCGACAUCGCGAGGUGAAGCCAAUCCCAUAAAAUCGGUCUCAGUUCGGAUUGUAGGCUGCAACUCGCCUACAUGAAGUCGGAAUCGCUAGUAAUCGCGGAUCAGCACGCCGCGGUGAAUACGUUCCCGGGCCUU